UACGUAGGGGGCGAGCGUUGUCCGGAAUCAUUGGGCGUAAAGAGCGUGUAGGCGGCUUGGCAAGUCUGACGUGAAAGCCCGCGGCUCAACCGCGGAUUGUCGUUGGAAACUGCCUCGCUAGAGUCCGGAAGAGGAGAGCGGAAUUCCUGGUGUAGCGGUGGAAUGCGCAGAUAUCAGGAAGAACACCCGUGGCGAAGGCGGCUCUCUGGGAACGGUACUGACGCUGAGACGCGAAAGCGUGGGGAGCGAACAGG
rnacentral:rRNA from 1 species